UGAUAGCUGUGAAGUGGGAGGUUGCUACUUUCAUUUUUAAUUUAAAAGAUAGAAAGUAGGUUUUCACACUGAGCGAAGGUCAUGUUACUAAAACUGGCGACAA
rnacentral:ncRNA from 1 species